AUGUGUAGUCGUUACAGCUGAGCCAUCAGACUGCAGGUGGCAACCAGUUCGUCGAUAUAAAGUUUUUUAGCCUCGACUAAGAAUCCGAUGAUUUCUGUUGCUGCUGUGUAGCUAUUUUUAGAUACUGCUGGAACCUCGGCUGGAACCGAAAAAAGUAAACGGCCAUCUACUGAAUGUUGGUUAAAAAAAACUUUUGCCACCCGAUUGUAGCAAAUGUUUCUAUCACCCAUGGUCCCGGAUCCGGCAAAAAUACGGCGCACUAAUAUAAAGAUGAAGGAAAUUCAUGGCGUAAUGUCCUCAGAAGACUAUGUUGCACACCCUUGUCCUGGCCAGAGGCUUUGUUCACGGGCUGACGUACAAAAGUGGCCACCGUGUUUCGGGAGAUGCAGCAGCUUACACCGUCUAAAUGAAGAAAAAAGCUUGAAAUAAAAAGUGAAAGUCAU